rnacentral:rRNA from 1 species
AGGACGAACGCUGGCGGCGUGCUUAACACAUGCAAGUCGAACGAGGUCCAGCCGGUGGCAACACCAGCGAAGACCGAGUGGCGAACGGGUGAGUAACACGUGAGCAACCUACCCCGAGACCGGACGUAACACCGGAAACCGAACGUGCUAAUAACCGGACGUGCCCCCACCUUGGGUUCGGCAUGGCCGUCGAUGAGGAAAGUAGGGUUUCCGGUCCUUCGGGUAGGGGGCGUCGCGGCCGUACUCAGCUGGUUGGGUUGGAGGUAAACGGGCGUUACCCUAAACGGCGAACGAACGGGGUAGGCUGGUCGUGAGAGGACGAUCAGCCACACUGGGACGUGAGACACGGCCCGACGACUCCUACGGGAGGGCAGC